rnacentral:lncRNA from 1 species
GGCAGGGUCAUCAUACACAGUGGUCCCUGUAUAUCCUAGUGGUGAUUUAAACCAAGUUUGAUUAAAUUUGACAGUUGUUUCAGGGGAGAAUUUUGUAAAAUUUAUCUAACGAGAAAUGCAAAGUAAUGAGAAAGUUGUGAAGUUGUUUUGUUGUUGCGCAACCCCCCCCCCGCUCCCCCUUUGCCAAAAAACCAAAAAAGGUAAUAAAAAAUUAAGGCAAUCUAUCCUAUUAAUGAUUUCUGCAAAAUUCAGUUGAUUGUGCAAGGGUUGUAUAGCCAGCUGAGGUCGUUAAAAACUCUCUUUUGUUGUUGCAGAUAGAUCUUGACCUGAUAAACAAUUUUACAACAUCUCAGAUUUGCUCUAAAUGCUUUGGUUUUUGAGUGAUAAGCCAAAAACUGCAUUUUAACCCUAUGUUCUAUUUUUAGCCAUAGCGGCCAUCUUGGUUAGUUGGCCAGGUCACCGGACACAAUUUUUAAACUAGAUACCCGAAUGAUGAUUGGUUUAAUUUGGCCCAUUAGUUUCAGAGGAGAAGAUUUUUGUAAAAGAUAAGUAAGAUUUACGAAAAAUGGUUAAAAAUUGACUAUAAAGGGCAAU